GUGCUGGACUUGAGUCUGACGCAGCUGCAGGGCGGCUUGUAUGUUCCCAUUCUGCAAGGCCUCUUACACGUCAUGCUUUAAUAAACCGUACAAUCUCACCCUUUGGUGUGAUUUCAAGCUCAUCUGUAAAUUGUUUCGUUGCUUUAUUUUCUGAGAGUUACAUGCUAUUUAUUUAAAACAUUAUUCUCUAAAUGGUUUCCAUCUCUCUAAGCAGUGUGUUUUGCCUCUGGUAGGGGAAAGCGAGAACAGUGAGAAAGCUACUUGGUGCAUCAAAUAAAUGAAAAGCAAGCAUUGCACCAGUGAAACUCAAAUUCUACAUCAAGAAAAACAAAUGCUGACAAUCAGCAUGUGCCUCUUUGCAGGGGCAUCUCUGGAAAUGGAGAUAAACACGUUUUGCUCUCCUGACACAUAGCCCUCGAUAGCCCUGCCCUCCACAGUAUUUAACUCAUUCCCCACCUUCAUAAAGCCACACCUUCUCUUCUUAGCCAUCGCCUCAUCCAGUAUGAAUGAGUUCCACAGGCUACACUUGCAUUCUGUGAACAAGCACCAAAGGCGGAUUUAGGGCAGUGUGAACAGAGCGGUCACACCAAGCAUACAGCCGUGGGGGCUGCCUUCUCAAAGCCCAGCGAGCAGUUCCCUAGCUUUGUGGGGGGGGGGAGGCGUGAGGGCUCUGACCGGGUCCUAGAACCCUCUUCCUCCUUCCCAAAACCAGGCAAGCACUGUGGGAUGUGACACAUACGUAGCAGUCAAGUACAACAUUCCUUGUUUUCCUAGAGUUGACAUGCAGGGGAAUGUUUGGUCCAGCCAGUUGAAAACUUCCUGUUUCCUCCUGGUUGGGACAUACCUCCUUUGUGUGUGACUAGAGGUGCGUGUGACCUUACCUGUUCAGGUAACAAAAGGGACAAGUCAUGCAGCACUCUCUCUCUCUUUGACUCCCUUCAUCCUUGGAGCAGCUUUUUAGCAAGAAAUGCUCUGUUGGAUUUCAGCCAACAGAAGACACUGGGAUUAUCCCUAUAUGGGAUAGAUCCACAUGUGUAUACUUUGUAACUAAGUCUGCCUUCAGGGAGCCAACUGUGAACUGAAGAUACUGUGUUUUGGAGUACGGCUCCCAUCAGCAAGCGCAGUCAUGUGAUGCUGGUGUUGAUGGGAGCACAGCCAGGGUGACUGGGGCAGAUGUGCAUUGCAGCUCCAGAACAUCUGCAAGGUGCCAGGUUAGGAAAGGCCUGUCUACAACCUUCUCCAGCUUCCUCAGCUCUGGAAUUCUCAGCUGACAAUGGACAAGUCAAAUCUGUAACCUGAAGCAGCCUGGAAGUGAUAGCACUGCUUUCUGGAUGGCACGGCUUCAAGCUACAGAAGCUGCUUGGCACCCAGUCUGGUAAUAAAACUAUUCCAAAUAUGUAGAAAGAUCUA